AGUGAACGCUGGCGGUAGGCCUAACACAUGCAAGUCGAACGGCAGCACAGUAAGAGCUUGCUCUUACGGGUGGCGAGUGGCGGACGGGUGAGGAAUACAUCGGAAUCUACUUUUUCGUGGGGGAUAACGUAGGGAAACUUACGCUAAUACCGCAUACGACCUACGGGUGAAAGCAGGGGAUCUUCGGACCUUGCGCGAUUGAAUGAGCCGAUGUCGGAUUAGCUAGUUGGCGGGGUAAAGGCCCACCAAGGCGACGAUCCGUAGCUGGUCUGAGAGGAUGAUCAGCUACUCUGGGUCUGGACCGCGUUCCAGUCCCCUAGGGAGGACAGCAGUGAGCACUAUUGGUCGUUAGCCGCCAGCCUGGUCCAGCCAUAGCGCGGGGAUUACAGGCACGUUCGAGUUGGAAUGCCUUGCUGUUGGGACAGAAAAACUGCAGGUUAAUGCUGGGCUGUUCUGACGGUACCGAAAAGAUCAGCGCCGGCUAACUUCGUG
rnacentral:rRNA from 1 species